rnacentral:rRNA from 1 species
AUUCCAGCUCCAAUAGCGUAUAUUAAAGUUGUUGUGGUUAAAAAGCUCGUAGUUGGAUUUCGGCGGGUAGUGGUUGGUUUGAAUUGAUUCAACACUGACUUUUUUACCCGUGUGUUUUGCCAGAAUCUUACGGGUGAUCUUUACCGAUUGUCCGUUGGAACUGGCAGGUUUACUUUGAAAAAAUUAGAGUGCUCAAAGCAAGCUUACUGCUUGAAUAGUUGCGCAUGGAAUAAUAGAAUAGGAAGUCGUUUCUAUUUUGUUGGUUUUCGGAAAUCGACUUAAUGAUUAAUAGGGAUAGUCGGGGGCAUUCGUAUUCAAACGACAGAGGUGAAAUUCUUGGACCGUUUGAAGACGAACUAAGGCGAAAGCAUUUGCCAAGAAUGUUUUCAUCA